CACGGGGGGGAGCAAGCGUUGUUCGGAAUCACUGGGCGUAAAGGGCGUGUAGGCGGUCAAGUAAGUGGAAUGUGAAAGCCCCCCGGCUUACCCGGGGAUCUGCAUCCCCAAACUGCUUGGCUUGAGUACGGGAGAGGAUGGAGGAAUUCCUGGUGUAGCGGUGAAAUGCGCAGAUAUCAGGAGGAACACCAAUGGCGAAGGCAGCACUCUGGGAGCGUGACUGACGCUGAGACGCGAAAGCGUGGGGAGCAAACAGG
rnacentral:rRNA from 1 species